ensembl:snRNA U2 U2 spliceosomal RNA
AUCGCUUCUCGGCCUUUUGGCUAAGAUCAAGUGUAGUAUUUAAACUCAGGGAUCUCACAGUUGUUUGCUUUUGAGUGCAGAUAUAUCUUCCUCAUCAUUUAAUUUUUAAAAUAUUUAAAAUUUUUUAAAUUUUUAAUAAAAUUUUUUAUGUUUAUUUUUGAUAGAGACAAAGCAUGAGCCAGGGGAGGGGUAGAGAGAGAGAGGGAGACCCAGAAUCUGGAGGAAACUCC